rnacentral:rRNA from 1 species
AUUGAACGCUGGCGGCAGGCCUAACACAUGCAAGUCGAGCGGAUGAAGGGAGCUUGCUCCUGGAUUCAGCGGCGGACGGGUGAGUAAUGCCUAGGAAUCUGCCUGGUAGUGGGGGAUAACGUCCGGAAACGGGCGCUAAUACCGCAUACGUCCUGAGGGAGAAAGUGGGGGAUCUUCGGACCUCACGCUAUCAGAUGAGCCUAGGUCGGAUUAGCUAGUUGGUGGGGUAAAGGCCUACCAAGGCGACGAUCCGUAACUGGUCUGAGAGGAUGAUCAGUCACACUGUGACUGUGAGACGGUGCCGACUCCUACAGGGGGCGGCGGUGGGGAAUAUUGGACAAUGGGCGGGAACGUGAGCUAGACAUGCCGCGUGUGUGAAGAAGGUCUUCGGAUUGUAAAGCACUUUAAGUUGGGAGGAAGGGCAGUAAGUUAAUACCUUGCUGUUUUGACGUUACCAACAGAAUAAGCACCGGCUAACUUCGUG